GGAAAGGCUUUGGGAACACUUUAGAAAACAUCUCUUCCUCCCACUGAAAGGUUCACAACUAUUGUUUUCCUCUUCUGACUCAUCUUUGAAUCAGUAAAUUAAAUAUGUAUAACUUGUGAAGAUUUCAUUUUUAUUAAGGCAAGGUGCUUUGCUGAGCAAUGUCAAGAUUUAGAAGUGUACAGCUCUCCUUUUCUCCCUUCUCAAUGAUUUUAUUUCCUGUAGUUUGUAGGAGGACUUUCAGAGAGCUGUUCUCUUUAUCCUUCUCUGUGGCUCUGGCUCUUUUCUGUAUCAUAGAGAAGUUAAAAAGAGUUGAUUAUCAUCUACUCUCCUAGGGUGGUCAAGACUUGAGGAUUCAGAGGCUGUUUCUCAAUUUAAGUCUCUAAGAAUAUGCCCUUCAGCCUUCUUACCUUGACUUCUGGAACUUUAUUGGUGAAAAAAAACUACGGCAUGACUCUGACAAUCCUUUGAAGUCAUGAAUAUACAAGAGCAUGAAUAAGAGAAGAAAAGAUGGAAGAUAAAAAGCAGAAGGAUGCAGAGCAUAUCAAUAGCUGGGACCUGAAUUAGCACCAUAUGGAGCAGAGUUCUCUUCCAGCUAACCAAGGGCACUUCAUCACCAAAGCAACAAGAUGUGGAGCAUGAGCAGUUCAACCUUUGAAGAUAACUCAGACUAAUUUGGCCAGCCUCUCCGUCUGAGGGUCUGAGAUCAUAAGAAGGUUUGGGAAAAGAGAAAGUUGUCAUUAAAUUGACAUCAAACAACCAGAAGACAACUUGGGAAAAAGCAGGAAUUUAUGUCCUUCAGCUUUUGCUAAGAUAUUCAUGCCAUGAUAUUUGGCCUAUAUUCCCUUCCAAUUGAGGACCUCUUCUCAUGGAGAAAAAAGUUAAGAACAAGAGAAGAAAACUGCCUUGCUCAAGUACACAUAGGAUAAAACUAAGUGACUGAGCUGGAAUACCAACAGCAGCCUAAUAACUUUAAUUCAGUGAUUUUUCCACCAAAGACUCAACAGCAACUGAUAAGAAUUUGAAAUACCAGAGUAGCUUAACAAAGACUCUGAGAAGUCCUGCAAUAAGGAAGUAUCAUUAACUUUGUUGAACAUUUUUUACCAUUGACUCCAUGAUAUAGUUUGAAUAUUUGUCCCCACUCAAAUCCCAUGUUGAAUUGUAAUCCCCCAUUUUGGGAGUGGGGCCUGGUGGGAGGUGUUUGGGUCAUGGGGGCAGACACCUCAUGGCUUGGCACUGUACUUGCAACAGUGAGUGAGUUCUCAUGAGAUCUGGUUAACUGUUUGGCACCUCCUCCCUCCUCACUCCUACAAGAGAUGUGAAGGAGUGCCAUGUGAUGUGCAAGCUCCUACUUCGCCUUCUACCAUGAGUAAAAGCUCCCCGAGGCCUCCACAGAAAAUGAGCAGAUGCCCUUGUUAUGCUAGUACAGCCCACAGAACUGUGAGCCAAUUAAACUUCUCUUCUUUUUAAAUUACCCGGUCUCUGCUGUUUCCCUAUAAUAAUGCAAGAAUGGCCUAAUACACUCCCUUAUCUGCAUACCGUGUAUCUCCAUUUUAUAGAAGGAUGCUUUGUGACGUAUGCUAUAAGAAAUACUGCUCUAAAGAGUUUUUGUAGAUGAGAUGGCUAAAGUAUCACAGAAAUGGUAUUGUGAACAACCAUUCUGAAAUGGAUGGGCCUUGGAAAUAAUGAUCUAAAAAUUCAGAAACUAAAAUAUUUGUCCCAUGAAAUACUCUCUAAAUGAGUUCCAUGUCCAUGUAAAUUUAGGCAACAUUGCACAUUAUAUCCAUUUUCUUAGAGAGUAAACAUGCUGGAAAAAAAAACAGCGUUACUUUAUCUAAUUAAAUUUUAGAAGGUUUAUUUGAAUAUCAAAAUUCAUUUCCCCCCAGGAGUAAUGAUAAAUACUAGGGGAGCUAGUGUGAAAAGUGCUUUGGAAAAAUAUGAUGUGGUAGCAAGAAGAGAUUUAAGAUUCCAACCAAUUCAGAUUUAAUUUUUGGCUCUGCUACUUGCCAGAUGAGAUUUAUUUAUGUGGGAGUUUCUGAAGAUUCCCAUGGUAAAUAGUAUUCCUCUUCCCUGCUUAGGUUUUGAAGAAGUUGAAUAAAUAAUUAAAUGUAAAUGUUGAUAGCAUAAGAUGACCUUUAUCGCUAACAGAGGUCAGGUUUUAGGACAUAGCUAAAAGUCUGCUAAUGCUGGUGGACUUGCUCACACAGAAAGAACAC
rnacentral:lncRNA from 10 species